rnacentral:rRNA from 1 species
GAUUUUGUUUUUGGCUCAAAACCCACCCUGGCGGCAGGCUUAACACAUGCAAGUCGAGCGCCCCGCAAGGGGACCGGCAGACGGGUGAGUAACGCGUGGGAAUCUACCCAUCUCUACGGAACAACUCCGGGAAACUGGAGCUAAUACCGUAUACGUCCUUCGGGAGAAAGAUUUAUCGGAGAUGGAUGAGCCCGCGUUGGAUUAGCUAGUUGGUGGGGUAAUGGCCUACCAAGGCGACGAUCCAUAGCUGGUCUGAGAGGAUGAUCAGCCACACUGGGACUGAGACACGGGCCCAGGACUCCUACGGGAGGCAGCAGUGGGGAAUAUUGGGCAAUGGGCGCAAGCCUGAUCCAGCCAUGCCGCGUGAGUGAUGAAGGCCCUAGGGUUGUAAAGCUCUUUCAACGGUGAAGAUAAUGACGGUAACCGUAGAAGAAGCCCCGGCUAACUUCGUGCCAGCAGCCGCGGUAAUACGAAGGGGGCUAGCGUUGUUCGGAAUUACUGGGCGUAAAGCGCACGUAGGCGGAUUGUUAAGUUAGGGGUGAAAUCCCAGGGCUCAACCCUGGAACUGCCUUUAAUACUGGCAAUCUCGAGUCCGAGAGAGGUGAGUGGAAUUCCGAGUGUAGAGGUGAAAUUCGUAGAUAUUCGGAGGAACACCAGUGGCGAAGGCGGCUCACUGGCUCGGUACUGACGCUGAGGUGCGAAAGCGUGGGGAGCAAACAGGAUUAGAUACCCUUGUAGUC